GACAGAAAGGCAGGAGGAGCAGAGACCCGAGGCGUGAACUGAACUUCAGAGUGCAAGCCUGGGAAUGCUGGGCACCCCGUGGCUGGAAUAAGAGAGCUGCACACUGAAGUGGGAGAUGGCAGAUAUAGGCUGGUGGUGAGGAAAGUCCAGGACUGCCAGUGUGUGUUCAGAUACCUACUUUCACAAUGGAUGCC